UUAAGUUCAGCGGGUGUUCUUACCUGUAUGAGGUCAGUUAACGAAAUAUUUAUGGACGUGAUCUGAUGCAACGGCCACGUCUAAUAAAGAUCGAUACAUAAACGUAUAAGAAAAUAAAAUCUUAAAAACGUUCGUGAAAUCGUAAAUAAAAUUUUAAGCCGCUUAAAAACCCAAAAGGUUUAAGAUGACCCAAUUUCCGACGAUUGUCACCGCGAAACAGCAACUAUGUCGAUUUUUUUUAGGCUGACCCUCAAACAGGCAUACUCUCCGAAGAGAGUGCAAUUUGCGUU
rnacentral:misc_RNA from 1 species